AUUGAACGCUGGCGGCAGGCCUAACACAUGCAAGUCGAACGAGUGGCGGACGGGUGAGUAAUGUCUGGGCAACUGCCUGAUGGAGGGGGAUAACUACUGGAAACGGUAGCUAAUACCACAUUCCAUCAGGUGUGCCCAGAUGGGAUUAGCUAUGUGGUGGGGUAAAGUCUCACCAAGGCGACGAUCCCUAGCUGGUGUGAGAGGAUGACCAGCCACACUGGAACUGUGACACGGUCCAGACUCCUACGGGAGGCAGCAGUGGGGAAUAUUGCACAAGGGGCGCAAGCCUGAUGCAGCCAUGCCGCGUGUUUGAAGAAGGCCUUCGGGUUGUAAAGUACUUUCAGCGGGGAGGCGUUACCCGCAGAAGAAGCACCGGCUAACUCCGUGCCAGCAGCCGCGGUAAUUC
rnacentral:rRNA from 1 species